AGGUCUAUCAGCCAAGUAGAAGCUUGGAGUUGGUUUGUAGUCUUGCCCUUCCCUUUUACUAUAAGAUGUUUGACAGUUCCUUUGUAUUCCAGGCACACUAUCAGUGAAUUCGUAAAACCUGCUUCCAGUAAAGGCUUAUUGAUAAGUGAUAUACAUCUGAGUUCAGAUGACUUGGAAAUGUACAUAGAUCUUGCGCCCUUUUUGAACCCAUCUCCUUACAUUGUCCCUGAAGAUAUGUCUUUGCCAAAGGUGAGAGUUUCGCUGCCAUUCUUUCAACACUUUUCUUUCAUGGAAUGUUGUUCUUACUUUAUCAAGUUUAUAUUGUUCUUGAUGAUGAUGCAGGUAUAUAUCUUUUCCGUCAACUAGGUUUAAGACAUAUAUUUGUUACUCCUCGUCCAUCUUGUGUGAUUGGCUUGAUUACCAGGAAGGAUUUAUUACUCGGGG
rnacentral:lncRNA from 1 species